UACGAAGGGGGCUAGCGUUGCUCGGAAUCACUGGGCGUAAAGCGCACGUAGGCGGAUCCUUAAGUCGAACGUGAAAUCCCCGGGCUCAACCCGGGAACUGCGUCCGAUACUGGAAGGCUUGAAUCCGGGAGAGGGAUGUGGAAUUCCAGGUGUAGCGGUGAAAUGCGUAGAUAUCUGGAGGAACACCGGUGGCGAAGGCGACAUCCUGGACCGGUAUUGACGCUGAGGCGCGAAAGCCAGGGGAGCAAACGGGG
rnacentral:rRNA from 1 species